AUUGAACGCUGGCGGCAGGCUUAACACAUGCAAGUCGAACGAUGACUCUCUAGCUUGCUAGAGAAGAUUAGUGGCGGACGGGUGAGUAACAUUUAGGAAUCUGCCUAGUAGGGGGGGAUAGCUCGGGGAAACUCGAAUUAAUACCGCAUACGACCUACGGGUGAAAGGGGGCGCAAGCUCUUGCUAUUAGAUGAGCCUAAAUCAGAUUAGCUAGUUGGUGGGGUAAAGGCCCACCAAGGCGACGAUCUGUAACUGGUCUGAGAGGAUGAUCAGUCACACCGGAACUGAGACACGGUCCAGACUCCUACGGGAGGCAGCAGUGGGGAAUAUUGGACAAUGGGGGCAACCCUGAUCCAGCCAUGCCGCGUGUGUGAAGAAGGCCUUUUGGUUGUAAAGCACUUUAAGCAGGGAGGAGAGGCUAAUGGUUAAUACCCAUUAGAUUAGACGUUACCUGCAGAAUAAGCACCGGCUAACUCUGUGCCAGCAGCCGCGGUAA
rnacentral:rRNA from 1 species